UCCGGGAAGCGUUCGUUCGCUAUUUGUGCAUUCGUGUAAAUAGAGGAAAGUCCGGACAUCAAAGGGCAGAAUUCCCUGUGAAAACGGGGGGGGCUUAUUUCAAAUUAAGUUCACGGCUAGUGCAGCAGAAAAUAAACCGCCUUAUUCGUAAGGUAAGGGUGAAAAGGUGGGGUAAGAGCUCACCGCCACAAAGGCAACUUAGUGGGCAUUGUAAACCCAAUUCGAUGCAAGACGAAAUAGGAAACCGGGUUGCCCGCCCAAUGGUUUCGGGUACGUCGCACCUCUUCGGAGGAUUGGUGAAAACUAAUAGAUAAAUGAGCGAACUUUUGAUACAUCAAAAGAACAGAAUCUGGCUUACAGCUUCCCGGAUUCA
rnacentral:RNase_P_RNA from 1 species